rnacentral:tRNA from 1 species
GCCUGGAUAGCUCAGUGGAUAGAGCGCUGUGUGUGGUGGAAGGCUGGGAGUUCGAGUCUCUCAAGAAAUCGGGAGAGCACCACAAACAGAGGUCGGCGGUUCGAAUCCGUCUCUUGGCA